CCGCAGGAGGCGCGUGACGCCCUCCCGGAGGAGCUGCUCAUGGUAGGUCUGCACCGCCUGCUCCAGCCGCGCCUUCUUUCUCCUCCUCUCCAGCACGAAGCCCAGCCACGCGGCCCACGCCUCCAGGGAGACGAGGAGGAUUUAUACAAACGACUACACCACUGUCAGUUUCGAAUGGAGAAGGCUGUGUGGGGACAAUGUUGGGGUGUCAGCCCACACUCGGUAAAACCACAUGUGACGGCCACUGCUCUGAGGACAGCUCCGGCCACCUUCAGCUCCUGUGAGCACCCUGGCUCUGGAACCAGGUCUGCUGUUUGCUGUUCUGACCCCUCAAGUGCCCACCAGGGGUACAACAACUGCAGGUGUGCCAAGGCCCCCUUGGAGUGAGCUGCAAAAUGCUGCCGGGUGACCCAGAAGGAACACCAAGGACUGCUGGGAGCCACCAGAAGCUGGAAGAGGCCAGGGAGGAUUCUCCCUAAGCCUUGUGAGGGGGCAUGGCCCUGCCAACCCCUUGAUUUUGGAGUUGGCCUCCAGAACUCUUGAGAACAGUUUCCUGUGGUUUUAAGCCUCCCAGUCUGUGGUGCUCUGUGACCUCAGCAACAGGAAACUAAUACACAUGAGGAGACGAAAACCGAGGGGAAGUGAACAGCACACCACGCUCGUUCUGGGUCCUUCACAACCCUCUCCUCAGCGUCCGGGCCCCGCUUACCCCGAUCCAGCACCUUCUGGGCCUCCGCCAUGGCACAGGCCUCCUGCUGUCGGUAGUAUAUCUGCACAGACGCAGCCUCUCGCCACUGGACCAGGACCUAAGGGGCAGACGAAGAACAGAGAGGUGAUCGUGGCACCUCCUGACAUCCUGGGGGCAGCUCCUCGUGGCGUGAGGCCGGCAGUGGACACGCAGCACUCCCACGCAUUCUAGGAAGUACCCACCACCCACACGUGACACACGGCUGCUGAGGACAGAAACCCCCAUUCCCUGACAGGAAGCCCAGUGUUGCGGUGAUAGGGCUUUGCUCCCAGGAGUUAAACUUCAUGCCAUAAAGGAGUAAAUAGGCUUUCCUUCCAGAAGCUACGCGUUACAUGCACGCUUUCAGAUGUGAGACUUAUGAAAUCACAGUGACAGAACGCUUUAAAAUGAAGUCAACAGCCAGGGAUACGCCUGGUGCCUGCUCCCCAAACAGUCUUGAUCUCCAUUCCUCCCCAAAAGGGCCUCCUCCCUCCUGAGCCAUGGAGCCAAGCACAGGGCAGGGGACAUACACGCUGGCCGCGGGGCUUUCCUGAGACAGACUGGGCCUUCCCCAUAUGCAACUGCUUCUCAUCCGCGGGCGCUGCCAGUCGUCAGGACCAGUCCCCCACCCCGGCCUUCCAGCAGGGCCCCAGCAAACAGUUUUCUUCUAAAACAUCCCCGAGUCCAGGGACCACCUCUGUCAUUUCCUUUGUUUGAGUCCCCUGUCUGGUAACACGUCUUCUUCCCACAGCCACAUCCUGUCACCUCUUCCCUCCCCCAGCACAUGGGACCAGACCCCCCAUGUGACAUUUUGGGGCCACUUCCCACCAACAAUGAUCAAUGGCCUCACAUCCCUGGGAUGCUCUAUGCUUUCCAGAAAGUCCUGCAGCCACAAGAGCUGCGAAGCCAGUGAGCAGGAGCAAGUGUUCUCUUCUGACAGAGGAGACAGAGACAUGGAGACUGACAGUUUGUCCCAGUGGAAAAUUCCACACGUGUAGAAAAUACUGGUUCUGUACGAGUACUGUUUCACUCACUGUGUGCUGUGUUUUCGUUUUAAUGGAUGUUGGUUAAUAAUUCAGCAAAAUAAAUAAAGUUGGAGAGUUACCCCA